GAUAAUUCUGCUCUUUACUAGAGUUUUCAACCAGUUUGCCUGUUACUGAAGUUAGGCUUAUUGGCCUGUAAUUGCCAAGAUCAUCUCUGGAGCCUUUUUAAAAAAAAAAAAUCAGUGUUACAUUAGGUAUCUGCCUGUCAUCUGGUAAGCAAGCUGAUUUAAGCAAUAGGUUACAUACCACAGUUAGUAGAGCUGCAGUUUCAUAUCUGAGUUCCUUCAGAACUCUUGGGUGAAUACCCUCUGGUCCUGGUGACUUAUUACUGUUUAAUUUAUCAAUUUGUUUUGAAACUUUCUCUAUUGACUUCUAAAUCUGGGGCAAUUCCUUUGAUUUGUCACCUAAGAAGAAUGGCUCAGAUAUGGGAAUCUCCCUCACAUCCUCUGCAGUGAAGACCAAUGCAAAGAAUUCAUUUAGCUUCUUGUCUUCCUUGAGUGCUCCUUUAACCUUGAUCGUGUCUGGUGGCUCCACUGAUGUUUGGAAGAAUUCCUGCUUCUGAUAUUAAAAAUGUUUUGUGCUGUUAGUUUUUGUGUCCUUUUCUAGUUGCUCUUCAUAUUCUUUUUCGGCUUGCCUAAAUUAUACUUUUACAUUUGACUUGCCGGUUUGUCCUUUUCUCUUUUCCUUAGUAUGCGGUGACUUCCAAUUUUUAAAAGAUGUCUGUCUCUAAUCACCUCUUUUACUCUGUUGUUUUAGCCAUGGUGGCAUUUUUUUGGACCUCUUACGGUUUUUAAUUUGAGGUAUACCUAUAGUUUGAGCCUCUAUUAUGGCGUUUUAAAAAAGGGUUCAGGGUGCCAGUUGUGGUUUCUGAAAACAUGUGAGUAGUAUUAUACCUGAAAAAGUAAGGAGGUACCAGAGGCAAUGAUCUCCUCCAAAUUAUGCAACUGUCCAGUUGGGCAGACUAUUUAGCUUCAAUUUAGAGCUCAUGAAAGAGAAACUCAGGCCUUGUCAACAAAAAGUCAGGUUUUGUCGACAAAACAGUGGAGGUGUACAUAUUGCAAUGCUCCUUCUGCCACAAAACUCUCCUGGUUUCGUGACAAAAUGUGGCAAAGUUAUAUCGACCAAGUGGUAGUGUAGACACCACGCUUGGUUAUGUUGCUGUAAAUGGCCUCCAGGAGGUAUCUCACAAUGCCCAUCCUGACCACUCCAGUCAGCAGUUUGAACUUCGCUGCCCUGCAUCCAGAUAUACAGGCAUCUGGCUCUCCCCCUUUGAAGGCCCGGGAAUUUUUGAAAUUCCACUUCCUGUUUGCUCGGUGCGGAGAGCUCAGAUCGCAUCUUCUUGGCUGACCAUAGCGGCUCCAUACAGCAAACGCUUUUCCGCUUGAGUUGUUGGAUCUGCUGGCAUUGUGGGGAGUGGAGGGUGAGUUGUUGGAUCCGUUGGCAUUGUGGGGACAGGGGGCUCCGCUCCAGCCGUAGGAAUUUUGAUACCUACAGUCUGAUUUCUCGUGGCAUAUUGGAUAAGAGCUAUGAACGGGACAUGCAUCAGUGCUGUGCAAAGAUAAAGGAGCUGUGGCAAGCAUACCAGAAGAUAAGGGAGGCAAACUGUUGCUCUGGUGCUGGGCCAAAGACCUGCCACUUUUCUCAGGAGCUGGACAUCAUCCUCGUUGGUGACCCCACCUCCACCGCCAAGAGCCUGGUGGAUACUUUGGCGUGGCUGGAGAUAGUGGACAGUGGAUGAGGAGCUCAAGUUGGAGGAUGAGGUGGAGCACAUGGCAGAGUCCUCCAGUGGUGUGGCGAGUCAGGACCUCUUUUCCACUCUGGAGGGAUCUAGCUAGUGCCAGCAGGCUGUCUCUGGCACGCAUGAUGCAGGAGAGGAGAGCUCUGAUGUAGCCUUCUGGGGAACCCCUUACACAACGGUGGAAUGCCUCUGCCAGAUAAGGAAGAGCCCAAGGAGGACAUGUUCUGAGAGGUGCUCGAAUCCUCAGAGGCGAAAAAACAAGAACACAGGGAGUGGAGAAAAACUUUGAAGGAGAAAAUUAAUAUAGACAGGCAGUACAGAAAGGAGAGCGAGGAGUGAAUUGUAAUGGGCCAGGAGUGGAUGAUAAAUGUUGGAGGAGUAAACAGAGAUUUUGAAGUCCCUAAAUCAUGCUCCAGGCAGAACACGUGCUUGCUUCCCCUACCUCCCUUUGCAGCCAAUACAGAACUACUUUCUAUGCCCUCCCCAAACUCCUCCCACACAUUCCUUGCAACUUCCUGGAGCAUCUCGGUACCCUGUUCAAUCCACCCCUUUGAACAGCUUUCAAAAUGAUAGCUAGACUUACACACAGCUAUGAGAGCCUACAUUGCCCUGCACUGUUAUCUCCCUUCCCACCAAGCCUUUUAUGUGUGUUGUUAAUUGGUAUUUAAUAAAAACAAACUCUCUGAAAGAUAA